AGUGAACGCUGGCGGCGUGCCUAAUACAUGCAAGUCGAACGGAGUGGCGCACGGGUGAGUAAUAUAUAGCUAAUAUGCCCCUUGCUGGCGGACAACAGUUAGAAAUGACUGCUAAUACUCCAUAGCAAGGGAUGAGACUAUAUCGUAUCAGCUAGUCGGUGGGGUAACGGACUACCGAGGCUAUGACGCGUAACUGGUCUGAGAGGAUGAUCAGUCAAAAUGGAACUGGGGCACGGGUCAAACUCCCACGGGAGGCAGCAGUAGGGGAUAUUGCGAAAUGGGAGAAACCCUGACGCAGCAACGCCGCGUGGAGUAAAACAGUUUUCGGAGCGUAAACUCCUUUUGUUAGGGAAGCGGUACCUAACGAAUAAGCACCGGCUAACUCCGUGCCAGCAGCCGCGGUAAUUC
rnacentral:rRNA from 1 species